rnacentral:lncRNA from 1 species
AUCCUCGCUGCUGAGAAGGAUCAUGAUGGGCUCCUCGGUGUUCUCCAGGUAGCGGCUCCACACUACGAGGGCCGCGCGCACGGCGAGCACGCGCAUUUCCACGGCCGAGGACCCCACCUCGAUGGGCGAGACGCUGCGCGAGUAGAAGGCGCAGGAGACGCGGCGGCCGGUCUGCUCAUCCGUCUGGAUGAGGGCCGCGUGCAGGACCGCGCCGGAGACGCCCGUCUCCAAGUAGAAGCGGUUCUGGGGCUUGGGGUGGUGGAGCAGGGGCGCGCGGCGGAAGGCGCGCCGCAGCGCGUCGAAGGCUUCCUGCUCGGCCCGGCCCCAGGAGAAGGGCGCCGAGUCGUCGGCGUCGCCGCGCAGCAGCUGCUGCACGAGCGGCUCGGCGAUGGCGCAGAAGCGCUCCACGAAGUGGCGGUAGGGGAGCGCGAGCUGCAGGAAGCCGCGCAGGCCCCUCCGCGAGGUCGGGAGCGGGUAGGUGGCGAUGGCGCCCACCGUGGCCUUGCUGAGCUUCACGCCCUUGGGCGUCAGGACGAAGCCCAGGAACUCGGCCGUGUGCCGGUGGAACUGGCUCCUGUCCAGCGAGCAGUAGACGCGGUGGUGGCGGAAGCGCACGAGCACCUGGCGCACGUGCUGCAGGUGCUCCUCCCGGCACAUGGAGUAGACCAGGACCUCCUGGCCCGAGGACAGCACGAAGAAGCCCAGCAUGUCCUUGAGGAUAAAGUGGAUCACGUUCUGGGGGAUGACGGGGUCGGGGGACUGCGGGAAGGGCCGGUAGCUCUUCAUGUCCUGCGGCUCCAAGCCGAAGGCCGCCCGCCACGUGUCCUCGGUGCGGGCCACGCCCAGGCUGCCCGGCACCACGCUCCCCCGCAGCUCCAGCCUGGUGAACCAGGCCGCCCCGUGCAGCUGGUCGAAGAGCUCGGGGAUGACCUGGAUGUAGUCCUGCCUGUCCGUGAGCAUGGCGCGCAGUGCCCAGCACUCCUCCCGCUGUCUGGCUUGCUCUUGCAUCCUAGCACCCACGGGCUCCCAGGGCGCGGUGGAGGGACACUCGUAGAAGGUCUCGCUGUGAUCACUGUCUCCAGCCUGCUGAAGCUCAGAGGGCUCUGA